rnacentral:rRNA from 1 species
AGAGUUUGAUCCUGGCUCAGGAUGAACGCUGGCGGCGUGCUUAACACAUGCAAGUCGAGCGAAGCGUAUUUGCGGAAGUUUUCGGAUGGAAGCGGAUGCGACUUAGCGGCGGACGGGUGAGUAACGCGUGGGUAACCUGCCUCAUACAGGGGGAUAACAGUUAGAAAUGACUGCUAAUACCGCAUAAGCGCACAGGACCGCAUGGUCCGGUGUGAAAAACUCCGGUGGUAUGAGAUGGACCCGCGUCUGAUUAGCUGGUUGGCGGGGUAACGGCCCACCAAGGCGAAGAUCAGUAGCCGACCUGAGAGGGUGGCCGGCCACAUUGGGACUGAGACACGGCCCAAACUCCUACGGGAGGCAGCAGUGGGGAAUAUUGCACAAUGGGGGAAACCCUGAUGCAGCAACGCCGCGUGAGUGAAGAAGUAUUUCGGUAUGUAAAGCUCUAUCAGCAGGGAAGAAAAAAGACGGUACCUGACUAAGAAGCCCCGGCUAACUACGUGCCAGCAGCCGCGGUAAUACGUAGGGGGCAAGCGUUAUCCGGAUUUACUGGGUGUAAAGGGAGCGUAGACGGCAUAGCAAGUCUGAAGUGAAAGCCCGUGGCUCAACCGCGGAACUGCUUUGGAAACUGUUAAGCUGGAGUACUGGAGAGGCAAGCGGAAUUCCUAGUGUAGCGGUGAAA